AACGCACCUUGCGCCCCUUGGCAUUCCGAGGGGCACACCCGUUUGAGUGUCGUGAAAUUCUCAAAAUCCUUUUCUUUGAUCGGAAUAGGACUUUUGGACUUGGAGGUUCAAUGCUCGCUUUCGCCUUUGAAAGCGAGCUCCUCUCAAAUGAAUCAGUGGGGUCCGCUUUGCUGGUCCUUGACGUGAUAAGAUGCUUCUACGUUUUGGAUUUGGCAUUGUUUUCUCCGCUCCUAACUGUCCCCAUGGGACAACGAUGGUGCUUCGGUCGUCGCCAUCUAUGGCGGGAGGCUGAACCCACAAAGAACCUUGACCUCAAAUCGGGUGAGACUACCCGCUGAACUUAA
rnacentral:rRNA from 1 species